GAUGAAGAACGCAGCGAAAUGCGAUAAGUAGUGUGAAUUGCAGAAUUUAGUGAAUCAUCGAAUCUUUGAACGCACAUUGCGCCCUAUAGUAUUCUGUAGGGCAUGCCUGUUCGAGCGUUAUUGAGACCUCAAGCUCUGCUUGGAAAUGGGCGCUUGUCUUGCCUUGCAGACUCGCCUUAAAACCAUUGGCAGCUGAUUUACAAUGUUUGGUGCACAGUACAUGAGCCCAAGUGUUGCAAUGAGUGGCCCAAAAGUAUACAAUAGAAGCUUAACCUCGGAUCAGGUAGGGAUACCCGCUGAACUUAAGCAUAUCAAUAAGCGGAGG
rnacentral:misc_RNA from 1 species